AGUAAAAAAAUUAUUUUUAAAAGUAAAAAUUUAUGGUUUUUGAGUUUAUUGCUUGCGGCGUGGUUACAUAUUUAGCUUUAGGGUUUUGAUAUUAUUGUCUUUGUUGAUGGGAUUUUUUUAAUUUUUGGAAGUAUAGCUCGUAGUUCUAUUACUUACAUUAGUUGAUUCUUUGCCCUGUGGGAUUCAUGGUUGUAACUCCAGCGUAUAUACAGAGAUUGUUACUGGUCGUUAAUGGAGGAAGUAAAGCUCAAGCAUAGAGAGUAUUGUUGGAUGUUUGGAAUGAGUGUUUUUCAGGAAGAUGAGAAUAAGAGUAAUAAGGAUGGUACUCUAGGAAUUGGAGAGAACAACGGGAAUGCGGUCAUCAGUAAUACGUGUGGGGUUCAUGGCUGUAAGUCGAAGGCAAUGGCGCUUACGAGGUUCUGUCAUAUGUAUAUAUUGUCAGAUUCCAAGCAAAAGUUGUACAAGGCUUGCAGUUUUGUCAUUAAAAGGGAGAAGGAUGAUUACGACGUGGUAAGGAAAGUUGGGAGAAGAAAGUAUAGCGAGGUGUUUGAGGGAAUUCACACUACUAAUAAUGAAAAUGCAUUAUCAAAAUCCUUAAGCUAGUGAAGAAAAAAAAAGUUGGGAAAUUGAAGUGAUCAAAUUUGAAGGGUCGCCGCAAGUCAAUUUGAUCACAUUGAAGUGGAUGAUGUAGAGUUUUUGAACUAUUCUAAAAGUUUGAAUACAUUAUAUUUGAUUUUGUGAAAUAUAUUCAUUGCUAUAAUAUAUUGAACUAUUGUAAGAGUACUUUUUGAACUAUUGUGUACACAUAUUUAGAAUAUUGCUUUAUAAGUAUGUGUAUGUACACAAGACAUACUAUCUUUUGAAGUUCAUUGCAAAUCUAUAUAUUUGAAUUA